AGCGUCGUUUGCGACGCCCAACACACAAAACAAGCGGUGAAUGCUUUGGGGUGGGGUGACUGCGUACCUUUUGUAUAAUGGGUCAGCGACUUAUAUUCUGUAGCAAGGUUAACCGAAUAGGGGAGCCGGAGGGAAACCGAGUCUUAAUUGGGCGUUAAGUUGCAGGGUAUAGACCCGAAACCCGGUGAUCUAGCCAUGGGCAGGUUGAAGGUUGGGUAACACUAACUGGAGGACCGAACCGACUAAUGUUGAAAAAUUAGCGGAUGACCUGUGGCUGGGGGUGAAAGGCCAAUCAAACCGGGAGAUAGCUGGUUCUCCCCGAAAGCUAUUUAGGUAGCGCCUCGUGAAUUCAUCUCCGGGGGUAGAGCACUGUUUCGGCUAGGGGGCCAUCCCGGCUUACCAACCCGAUGCAAACUGCGAAUACCGGAGAAUGUUAUCACGGGAGACACACGGCGGGUGCUAACGUCCGUCGUGAAGAGGGAAACAACCCAGACCGCCAGCUAAGGUCCCAAAGUCAUGGUUAAGUGGGAAACGAUGUGGGAAGGCCCAGACAGCCAGGAUGUUGGCUUAGAAGCAGCCAUCAUUUAAAGAAAGCGUAAUAGCUCACUGGUCGAGUCGGCCUGCGCGGAAGAUGUAACGGGGCUAAACCAU
rnacentral:rRNA from 1 species